rnacentral:rRNA from 1 species
UCGAGAAUUUUUCUCAAUGGGCGCAAGCCUGAAGGAGCGACGCCGCGUGGGGGAUGAAGGGCUUCGGCUCGUAAACCCCUGUCAUUUGCGAACAAACCUCGCGGUCGAACAAACCGCGGGCUGAUUGUAGCGAAAGAGGAAGGGACGGCUAACUCUGUGCAGCAGCCGCGGCAAUACAGAGGUCCCAAGCGUUGUUCGGAUUCACUGGGCGUAAAGGGUGCGUAGGUGGUCGGGUAAGUUCGGUGUGAAAUCUCCAGGCUUAACUUGAAAACGGCAUCGAAAACUACUUGGCUAGAGGAUCGGAAGGGAGACUGGAAUUCUCGGUGUAGCAGUGAAAUGCGUAGAUAUCGAGAGGAACACCAGUGGCGAAGGCGAGUCUCUGGACGAUUCCUGACGCUGAGGCACGAAAGCUAGGGGAGCAAACAG